AAAUACAAUGUUAUGCGUACGAUAAUCUGGUAACGUUGAAGUUCGAGUCAUUCCCUCCCGCCCGGCAUCCUUCUCCGCACCGUCACUCGCUCCAAGAUGUUUCUGACACGCAGUGAGUACGACCGAGGGGUGAACACCUUCUCUCCGGAGGGCCGACUCUUCCAGGUGGAGUAUGCCAUUGAGGCCAUCAAGCUCGGGUCGACAGCCAUCGGCAUCCAGACAAGUGAAGGCGUGGUGCUGGCCGUGGAGAAGCGCAUCACCUCUCCACUCAUGAUCCCCAGCACUAUUGAGAAGAUUGUGCAGAUAGACAAGCACAUUGGCUGUGCAGUGUCUGGACUGGUGGCAGACUCCCGCACCCUUGUGGACCACGCCCGCGUUGAGUGUGCCAGUCACUGGUUUGUUUACAACGCAGACAUGAAGGUUGAAAGUGUAGCCCAGGCCGUGUCCAACCUGGCCAUUCGCUUUGGUGACGCCGAUGAUGACGGCCCGGCAAUGAGCCGUCCGUUUGGUGUUGCUAUGCUGUUUGCCGGCAUUGACAACUGUGGUGCCCAGCUGUACCACAUGGACCCUAGCGGCACUUUCCUGGAGUUCGGCGCAAAGGCCAUCGGCUCAGGCUCUGAGGGGGCACAGCAAUCGCUCCAGGAGUCAUACCACAAGUCCAUGACGCUUCAGGAGGCGCUCAAGCUGGCCCUUACCGUCCUCAAGCAGGUGAUGGAAGAGAAGGUGAGCGGCUCUAAUGUGGAGGUGGCCGCUGUAACACCUGAGAAGGGUUUCCACAGGUACCCUCAGGUGCAGGUAGAAGCCAUUAUCAGUGACCUUUAGACACCUGCAGCUCACACCCACCUGGCACCUGUGGACACCUGAGGGAGGGUUCCUGUUAAUUAUGGACACCUCAGGAAGGGACUGUGUUAGCUAUGGUCACCUGGGGAGGGGCUUAUUUUUACUUGUGGCCUGGCUUAUGUUGCCUACAAACACCUGUAGCCUCUAGAGAGUUGUUACUUCGUGGAUGCCUGUAAUUGGAGCUUGUUUUGUGUGGAUACCUGUUGAAGGACAUACUCUUGUUACCUGUGGCCACCUGCAAUGGGGGUUUCUUACCUGUGGACACUGGGAGGACAUAAGAGGAUAUGAGUAACAGUGUUGCACAAGCGCCACUCCAGCAAAAACUGUGUUCUGUGUAUUGUAUUGUAUUGCAUUCCCCAAGCCACUACCGCCUGGCAACAACCUCCAGGACCUGAGAUGCAGAAGGGAAAAUUUUUGAAACACUGAGAGAUGUGUCCAGGUUCCUAAAGUUUAACAGUGCUUUUUCUCCACUUCAUGUUCAGGGUUAUUACUGUGUUACUAUCAGCCUUUUGUGCUACCUCUAAACACCUGUAUUACCUAGAUCAUCACCUGUAGACACCAGGAGGGCUGUGUUACCUGUGGACACUUGUAAGACCUGUAAGUGUUACCUUUGGACACCAGGAGGGCUUAUAUUACCUGUGGACACUUGUGAGACCUGUGAGUGAUACCUGUGGACACUAGGAGGGCUUAUGUUACCUGUGGACACUUGUAAGACCUGUAAGACUGGUACUUGUGGAUACUAGGAGGAUUUAUGUUGCCUGUGGACACUUGUAAGACCUGAAAGUGUUACCUGUGGACUCUAGGAAGGCUUACAUUACCUGUGGACUCGAGGAAGGCUUAUGUUACCUGUGGACACUUGUAAGACCUGUAAGAACAGAAACAGCUACAAAUGUUUUAUGGAACAGAGGAAGUUAGUUGUUCCCUUGAAGGUCUGCCAGGGAUAGGAAAGUUGGUUACUCUGAAGGCUACAGGGCUAGAAGGUGGAUCACAGCACUGGGAAUGGAUUGGAGGAAAAUAAAAAGAUUUGAUUUUCAUUUGU